rnacentral:rRNA from 1 species
AGAUGCCGCGUGAGUGAAGAAGGCCUUUGGGUUGUAAAGCUCUUUUGUAGGGGAAGAUAAUGACUGUACCCUAAGAAUAAGGUCCGGCUAACUUCGUGCCAGCAGCCGCGGUAAUACGAAGGGACCUAGCGUAGUUCGGAAUUACUGGGCGUAAAGCGCGCGUAGGCCGUUGAGUUAGUUAAUUGUGAAAUCCCAAAGCUUAACUUUGGAACUGCAAUUAAAACUGCUCGACUAGAGUUUGAUAGAGGAAAGCGGAAUACAUAGUGUAGAGGUGAAAUUCGUAGAUAUUAUGUAGAACACCAGUUGCGAAGGCGGCUUUCUGGGUCAACACUGACGCUGAGGCGCGAAAGUAUGGGUAGCAAAGAGGAUUAGAUACCCUCGUAGUCCAUACCAUAAACGAUGAUUGCUAGAUGUUGGAAAUUUAUUUUCAGUAUCGCAGCUAACGCAUUAAGCAAUCCGCCUGGGGAGUACGACCGCAAGGUUAAAACUCAAAUGAAUUGACGGGGACCCGCACAAGCGGUGGAGCAUGUGGUCUAAUUCGAAGAUACGCGCAGAACCUUACCAAGCCUUGACAUGUCUGUCGCGAGUUUAGGAAACUAGACUUUUCGGUUCGGCCGGACAGAACACGGGUGCUGCAUGGCUGGCGUCAGCUCGUGUCGUGAGAUGUUGGGUUAAGUCCGCGAAG